rnacentral:rRNA from 1 species
GUGGGGAAUAUUGGACAAUGGGCGAAAGCCUGAUCCAGCCAUGCCGCGUGUGUGAAGAAGGUCUUCGGAUUGUAAAGCACUUUAAGUUGGGAGGAAGGGCAGUAAGUUAAUACCUUGCUGUUUUGACGUUACCGACAGAAUAAGCACCGGCUAACUUCGUGCCAGCAGCCGCGGUAAUACGAAGGGUGCAAGCGUUAACAGGAAUUACUGGGCGUAAAGCGCGCGUAGGUGGUUCAGCAAGUUGGAGGUGAAAGCCCCGGGCUCAACCUGGGAACUGCCUCCAAAACUACUGGGCUAGAGUACGGUAGAGGGUAGUGGAAUUUCCUGUGUAGCGGUGAAAUGCGUAGAUAUAGGAAGGAACACCAGUGGCGAAGGCGACUACCUGGACUGAUACUGACACUGAGGUGCGAAAGCGUGGGGAGCAAACAGGAUUAGAAACCCUUGUAGUCC